rnacentral:tRNA from 1 species
GGCGGUGUAGCUCAGCUGGCUAGAGCAACCGGUUCAUACCCGGUAGGUCGGGGGUUCAAAUCCCUCCGCCGCUA